rnacentral:rRNA from 1 species
GACGUAGGGUGCGAGCGUUGUCCGGAUUUAUUGGGCGUAAAGAGCUCGUAGGCGGUUCGACAAGUCGGGUGUGAAAACUCCGGGCUCAACCCGGAGACGCCACCCGAUACUGUCGUGACUGGAGUCCGGUAGGGGAGUGGGGAAUUCCUGGUGUAGCGGUGAAAUGCGCAGAUAUCAGGAGGAACACCGGUGGCGAAGGCGCCACUCUGGGCCGGUACUGACGCUGAGGAGCGAAAGCGUGGGUAGCAAACAGG